CGUCUAUAUACGUAUAGCAUAUCAAUAAGCGGAGGAAAAGAAACUAACUAGGAUUCCCUCAGUAACGGCGAGUGAAGCGGGAAGAGCUCAAAUUUGAAAUCUUCAAGGUUCUACCUUGACGAAUUGUAGUUUAAAGAAGUGUUUUCUGUUGGAGUUUUGGUAAAAGUUCUCUGGAAUAGGACAUCAUAGAGGGUGAGAAUCCCGUCUUUGACCAUUAUUUCCAGCUUUGUGAUACACUUUCAAAGAGUCGGAUUGUUUGGGAAUGCAGUCCAAAAUGGGUGGUAAAUUUCAUCUAAAGCUAAAUACUGGCGAGAGACCGAUAGCGAACAAGUACCGUGAGGGAAAGAUGAAAAGAACUUUGAAAAGAGAGUUAAACAGUACGUGAAAUUGUCAAAAGGGAAGCGUUUGACACCAGUGUUGUUUUCUCGAAAAUCAAUUAAAAAUGGCUUGAUUUUGUGUUGUAUUGACCUUAAAAGCUUUCUGCACUUUUUUCCUGUCUUUUUUAAUGCACUUUUCGUUUAACAAGUCAACAUCAAUUUCUUUUGUUGUAAAAGGGUCAUUGGAAGGUGGCUUUCUUUUCGGAGAAAGUGUUUAUAGCCUUUGGCCUCUGCAAUCGGAGAGAUUGAGGUCUGCAGCGUAGAUCCUUCGGGGUUAGAUGCAUUUGUGCUAAGUUAUAGCCUUUCAUAGACAACUUGUUGACUAUGAUCAGUCAUGUAGCUUACUCGCUUAUGUCAUUUUACCUACGCUUAGGAUGUUGACGAUCAGCUGAGCGCG
rnacentral:rRNA from 1 species